rnacentral:rRNA from 1 species
AGUGAACGCUGGCGGUAGGCCUAACACAUGCAAGUCGAACGGCAGCACAGUAAGAGCUUGCUCUUACGGGUGGCGAGUGGCGGACGGGUGAGGAAUACAUCGGAAUCUACUUUUUCGUGGGGGAUAACGUAGGGAAACUUACGCUAAUACCGCAUACGACCUACGGGUGAAAGCAGGGGAUCUUCGGACCUUGCGCGAUUGAAUGAGCCGAUGUCGGAUUAGCUAGUUGGCGGGGUAAAGGCCCACCAAGGCGACGAUCCGUAGCUGGUCUGAGAGGAUGAUCCGCCACACUGGAACUGGGACACGGGCCCGACUCCUACGGGGGGCAGCAGUGGGGAAUAUUGGACAAUGGGCGGAAGCCUGAUCCAACCAUACCGCGUGGGUGAAAAAGGCCUUCGGGUUGUAAAGCCCUUUUGGUGGGAAAGAAAAGCAGCAGGUUAAUACCCCGCUGUUCUGACGGUACCCAAAGAAAAAGCACCGGCUAACUUCGUG